AGAAUAGGUUUUCUUAAGGGUGGUCGGUACACUCCCCAGUAGAAAGGGGGUGAUGCCGAAUGACAGUGUUUGAAUCACUCAUGUUUGCAAUUGGGUUUGCCAGUUUAAUUGUAAGCAUACUGUCAUUUAAAUCAAAAAAAUAAUCCACCCUUGAGUUAAACCGGCUCAGGUGGAUUAUCUGCCAAGAAGCCGACCCCUUUAGCGGGACCGUCUAUUGCA
rnacentral:sRNA from 1 species